rnacentral:lncRNA from 1 species
AAAAACACAACAAUGUAUCCUUGUCCCCUUACUCACUGGGCCUGGCACUGUGUGAUAUCUGGCUCUUCCCCAAAGUCAAAAGACUGUGAGAGGUCAAUGUUUUAAUCCAUUCAGGACAUGGAGGCAGCACGACAGUGCAACUGAAGGCGCUGAGGAAAGAGGACUCCAGAGCUGCUGCAGAAAGUGGCAGAAACCAUGGGGUGAAUGUGUUCAAAGAGAGGGGAAGACCCUGAGGGAGACUCAUGGCAAUGUGUCUUUUGCUCUAAUAAUUUUUUUCAAAUUUAAACAUACUCUGUAUUUUUCGAUCACACUCAUAUUUGCGUUCUUUGACAUUCCCUUACCUGGUGUAGGAAAUGGGGCUCAGAAAGAGCAGGCGAAAUGAGGUUUGUGCUACAGAACCUGGUGGCACGGAGCCACUGACAGGAAUUUCAGCAUCCACCUCACAGGCCCUGGGGGCUGGGAUACAUGCCAAGGAGCCCCUGGCUGGAAAAUGGUGUCUGGGUGAAUUAACAUAACACGAGAUUUCCCUGUAAAGGUUAACUUUCUGGAACAGCUUCGCAGAGAGUGCCAUGACAGGCAUUUGGUAGUUAAAACGCACCCUGUGAGCGCUCACGGUCGGCCUGGCCAGGAGCAGCACUGGGGCCUCCCGAGUCAGGGCCUCUUCCCGGGAAGCCCUGGGGGGGCCCUUUGCCACUUCCUUGCUCAGCAAGGCUCAAGGGUGCAAUUAACAAUUUCCACGACUUGGGCUGCAGAGGCUUCGAGUUCCAAGAGGGUAACCAAGGAGGAAAGAAAGGGAGAGGCCGGUGCUUCAGAAGGUACACUCUUCAAAGGAGCAGGAAGAGUCCACCCACAGGAAGGGGGCAGAAAUGUGACACCUUCCCGUGAAGGCACAGGGAGACCCCAAACUGCCAAAGCCCCGCCCUGCUGGGACCGAAGCUUCCCAAACCUCUGAAUGGCUUGUUGGUUCUGUGGGGCUCAGCGGAGCAAGGAGACGGAGGUCAGAAAUAACAGACAGGAGCAGGCCCUAGCAGAGGUCCCAACUGAUGUCCGAGCUGUUGCCUCUGUUAGCAUCGCAGCCGAUGAAAGCACAGCUUUCCUGUGUGUUGCUUUCGAAGCAGACGUCACUUGCUCGCAUUCAGGCAAUGUAGGUGUCCACUCAGGAACUUCAAACUUGCAAACCCCUUAUGUGUGAACGGUGACCGAUGCCAUGCUAGGAGACUGGGUCUCCCGUCAGUGCUGAAGAACGACCAUGAGGGAGCUGCAGGGGUCAUUAGAUUCGGGGAGUAGGAAAGUUUCUUUCUUUGGUGGACUGGCAGCUACUGCUAAAGCUACUAGAGGGUGGGGUAAGAGGGACUGAGUCAGGAGGAAAUGGGGGCAGGCGCUACUUGGUACCUUCUAUGUCCGCCUUUUGAGGGACAAACUGAGGACACAGUUCCGCCGUAGGUUCCCUCGCUUCCCUUCUGCACCCUCCCCACAGGAACAGGUGCUUUGGAAACAUCCCCAGUGCUGGUGCUGUUGCUUCUGUACCCUCAGACCUUCAGCCCUGUUCCCUCCUUCGGUCCCCGAUGUUCAGACCCCUUCCAGGAAAAGCAGCUCACAGCCAUCCUGAGGCCGCUCCCCUUCAGCUGACCCUGUCUCUACCACCAGACUGAGUCUGACAUUCAGGGCUCCUUGCGUCUGAUGUCCCGAACUGUCCAGUGGCCUCAGCUAGGGUCCUGCUCCAUGCUCUAGCUCCUCCCCUCUGUCUUCCGUCCUCUGGCAGGGGGGCAGGCGGAUGUGUCCAGCGGCAGCGGGAGCCCCAGCCCCAAAUCCAGGCUGGGCCUGAGGUCCCUGUGCUCCUGGUAGAGGGGCCUCUGUCUG